UCCUGGAUGGCUCAGUCAGUUAAGCCUCUGACUUUGGCUCAGGUUAUGAUCUCACGGUUUGUGGGUUCGAGCCCCACUUCGGGCU
rnacentral:tRNA from 1 species